UGCGUAGGGCGCAAGCGUUGUCCGGAAUUAUUGGGCGUAAAGAGCUCGUAGGCGGUUUGUCGCGUCUGUCGUGAAAGCCCACGGCUUAACCGUGGGUCUGCGGUGGAUACGGGCAGACUAGAGGCAGGUAGGGGAGAAUGGAAUUCCCGGUGUAGCGGUGAAAUGCGCAGAUAUCGGGAGGAACACCGGUGGCGAAGGCGGUUCUCUGGGCCUGUACUGACGCUGAGGAGCGAAAGCGUGGGGAGCGAACAGG
rnacentral:rRNA from 1 species